UACGGAGGGUGCAAGCGUUGUCCGGAUUUAUUGGGUUUAAAGGGUGCGUAGGCGGUCCUUUAAGUCAGUGGUGAAAGCCAACAGCUCAACUGUUGAACUGCAAUUGAUACUGGAGGACUUGAGUACAGACGAGGUAGGCGGAAUUGACGGUGUAGCGGUGAAAUGCAUAGAUAUCGUCAAGAACACCGAUUGCGAAGGCAGCUUACUAGACUGUAACUGACGCUGAGGCGCGAAAGUGUGGGGAUCAAACAGG
rnacentral:rRNA from 1 species